CAUGGUUCCCCGCCAGAUUCAAAUCAGAACGGUGAAGUGGCAUGUAUUUGGACAACCAAUGAAACUGUGUGAUUAUGGAAAAUUUCUAAAUUUUCUUAUACAUAACUUUUCAAUUGAAAAUGGUCACAAAAAGAAACCGAGGUACAUCUGCACACAAUCAGAGAAAAUCUGACCAUAUUUAAUCCCCUUGACCUUGGCAAAAUGUUGACAAACUCACUGCCUGUCACACACAAGAGAUGGUUCCCCGACGUGUCCAGAUGUUUAGCUGAUAGAUAUCUGGAAAGGUUGGCGAGGCCUCAACCUCCGUCCCAAGCCCCACCCCCUCAACACAUGAACGCACACCGCUGCCUCAGUCGGAGUCUGACUGAGGAGGAGGAAGACACGAGCGGAGCACAACAUGCUAACUGACUGCUCGUGGCUCAUUCACAAGUCAGAACUCGAGGACUGAGCUUGGAGCAGUGACGUGACACAAGCCUGCUGCUUCACUUACUA